UGGGGUCCCCCCCCCCGUCACACCUGGGGGGGGUCGCUGGGUCCUCCUGUGGGGGGAGAGAGAGAAAAAGGGGCUGGAGACCCCCAAAAUCCCAAAUCCCCCCAAAAAUCCCAAACCCCCAGGUGAGUCUGGGGCUCCCCAGGUGAGUUUUGAGGUCCCCAGGUGAGUCUGGGACCACGCAGGUGAGUUUUGGGGUCCCCCAGGUGAGUUUUGGGGUCCCCCAGGUGAGUCUGGGACCACCCAGGUGAGUUUUGGGGUCCCCCAGGUGCCCCCUCAGGUGAGUUUGGGACCCCCCAGGUUGAUUUUGGGGUUCCCCGGGUGAGUUUUGGGGUCCCCCAGGUGAGUUUGGGAUCCCCAGGUGAGUUUUGGGGUCGCCCAGGUGAUUUUGGGACCCCCCCAGGUGAGUUUUUGCCCUCUUGAGAUGAUUUUGGGGUCCCCAGGUGAGUUUAGGGUCACCCCAGGUGCCCCUCAGGUGAGUUUGGGGUGUCCCAGGUGAGUCUUUGUCCCCCCAGGUGAAUUUUGGGGUCCCCCGGGUGCACACGGGACCCCCCCGAACCCCAAAACCACUCCCGGGGUUGGUCAGGGACGAGUUUAAUGCAGCAGCCAGGUACAGCCAGGUGUGCCCAGGUGAGCUCAGCUGUGCCCAGGUGUGCCCAGGUGUGCC